rnacentral:rRNA from 1 species
AUUGAACGCUGGCGGCAGGCCUAACACAUGCAAGUCGAGCGGAAACGAUCCUAGCUUGCUAGGAGGCGUCGAGCGGCGGACGGGUGAGUAACGCGUGAGAAUCUACCCAUGAGUGGGGGACAACCCGGGGAAACUCGGGCUAAUACCGCAUACGCCCUACGGGGUAAAGCAGGGGACCUUCGGGCCUUGCGCUGAUGGAUGAGCUCGCGUCGGAUUAGCUUGUUGGUGAGGUAAAGGCUCACCAAGGCGACGAUCCGUAGCUGGUCUGAGAGGAUGAUCAGCCACACCGGGACUGAGACACGGCCCGGACUCCUACGGGAGGCAGCAGUGGGGAAUCUUGGACAAUGGGGGCAACCCUGAUCCAGCCAUGCCGCGUGUGUGAGGAAGGCCUUCGGGUUGUAAAGCACUUUCAGCAGGGAGGAAGGCUUACCCCUAAUACGGGUGAGUACUUGACGUUACCUGCAGAAGAAGCACCGGCUAAUUUCGUG